AUGUGUUCCAGCAUGCUCCCUGUGCUUACUCUUUGGUGCAAUAACGGAUGCUUUUUAUUUCUCCAUUCUGCUUGUCUGCAUUGUUGGAAUAUUUUUAUGAUAAAUAGGUAUUGCUUUUGUAGUAAGGAACAAGCGCAACAUAGGUUUUUAUUUUUAAAAACUGGGAGCGAAUCUAAACAACAACAAGAGGCCCUGCCGCCUUUGUGUUCAGGACGGCGGAGGUGGUGGAGCUCUUUCAUCUGUUGGGGGUGUGGAUGUCAGGGCUGGAGGACAAUGACUCAAAGGCGGUGGAAACGCAGCCUGCGGAACAAGUUUCAAACAGGAAAGCUCUUGUGGGUGACCCCUGAGGUCAGCUGCAGAGCUUACUGCAGAUUCCACAAAGAGAGAAAGAGGAUCCAAAAAGGCAUGGGGUGGGGUCGGUUGGGCAGGCGUGUCCCAGUUUAA
rnacentral:lncRNA from 1 species